rnacentral:rRNA from 1 species
UACGUAGGGUGCAAGCGUUUGUCCGGAAUUAUUGGGCGUAAAGAGCUUGUAGGCGGUUUGUCGCGUCUGCUGUGAAAUUUCGGGGCUCAACCCCCGAACUUGCAGUGGGUACGGGCAGACUAGAGUGUGGUAGGGGGAGACUGGAAUUCCUGGUGUAGCGGUGAAAUGCGCAGAUAUCAGGAGGAACACCGAUGGCGAAGGCAGGUCUCUGGGCAACAACUGACGCUGAGGAGCGAAAGCGUGGGGAGCGAACAGG